rnacentral:misc_RNA from 1 species
GAUGAAGAACGUAGCGAAAUGCGAUAAGUAAUGUGAAUUGCAGAAUUCAGUGAAUCAUCGAAUCUUUGAACGCACCUUGCACCCUUUGGCAUUCCGAAGGGUAUGCUCGUUUGAGUGUCUUUGUACUCUCACACUUCCGAUCUUUGGAUUGGGAGCGGUGGACUUGGGUGUUGCUGCUUACUGUGGCUCACCUCAAAUCGAUUCGUGCACCUCUUGGUUGGACAUAGUACGGCGUGAUAAGUGUCUUCGCCGGCACCUCAGUAGAGGGUGGCUGAUCGGGAGCUCUGCUUCAAACCGUCCUCGGACAACAACUGACAACUUGACCUCAAAUCGAGUAGGACUACCCGCUGAACUUAAGCAUAUCAAUAAGCGGAGGA